rnacentral:rRNA from 1 species
GAGUUUGAUCGUGGCUCAGGACGAACGCUGGCGGCGUGCUUAACACAUGCAAGCCGAACGGUGACGACGGAGCUUGCUCUGUCUGAUCAGUGGCGAACGGGUGAGUAACACGUGAGUAACCUGCCCCCGACUCUGGAAUAACCGUGGGAAACGACGGCUAAUACCGGAUAUGAGACGCACAGGCAUCUGUGUGUCUGGAAAGAUUUAUCGGUCAGGGAUGGACUCGCGGCCUAUCAGCUUGUGGUGGGUAAUGGCCCACCAAGGCGACGACGGGUAGCCGGCCUGAGAGGGCGACCGGCCACACUGGGACUGAGAUACGGCCCAGACUCCUACGGGAGCAGCAGUGGGAAUAUUGCACAAUGGGCGCAAGCCUGAUGCAGCGACGCCGCGUGAGGGAUGAAGGCC